rnacentral:rRNA from 1 species
GUCUUUUUGAUUAUAAUUUAAAGUCUAACCUGCCCAAUGAAUUAUUCAAUGGCCGCAGUACUUUAACUGUGCGAAGGUAGCAUAAUAAUUAGUUUUUUAAUUGAGAACUGGUAUGAAUGGUUGGACGAGAAAAUAACUGUCUCAGGUUAAUUUUAAUUAGAAUUUUAUUUUUAAGUUAAAAAGCUUAAAUUUUUUUAAAAGACGAGAAGACCCUAUAGAGUUUUAUAUAAAAUUUUUAUUUAAUUUAUAAGGUAUUUUUUUUAUUUUAUAUAGUUUUGAUAUUUUAUUGGGGUGAUAUAAAAAUUUAAUAAACUUUUUAUUUUUUAGGCCAUAUAUAUAUGAAUAAAUGAUCCAUUUUUUAUGAUUAAAAGAUUAAAUUACCUUAGGGAUAACAGCGUAAUUUUUUUUUAGAGUUCUUAUUGAAAAAAAAGUUUGCGACCUCGAUGUUGGAUUAAAA